rfam:Sorghum bicolor cultivar BTx623 chromosome 1, whole genome shotgun sequence.
AUUUCCUGAUGGGGACAAUGUGAAAUGUGUUCUUGGUAACACUCCCAUGCAUCUAGAAUGGUUUCUCCAUUUUAUGGUUGAAAAUUGGUAAUCUUUCCUCUUAAGGAAUU